AAAAAGCCGUCUGAAGAGACACCAUGCCAGCCAUGGUGCACCGAAGGAGCAACCCGCUGGCGCGUGCCGGUGGCGAAUCUCUCAGGUACCAAGGACAGGGGGAGCGGC
rnacentral:ncRNA from 2 species